rnacentral:tRNA from 1 species
GUUUACUAAUAAUAGAUGAGGGUUGCAGGGAUAAUAUACUCUAAACACAACCGAGGGUCGUUCGCGAUCUUCAGUUGUGUUUUGGAAAAAAGUUACAAAUUUGAUUGUUAGCCGAACGGCCCUGGAAAGGCCGACCAAAGCAGGUGAUAGUCCUUUAGGCAAAAAUAAUCAAACUUUUCAUAUUAUUUCCUAAGUACCCAUGGAGCAGACUAUCCGUGGCGAAUCAGGGCCUACUACGGUCCAAGACUAAAUACUUUUGGUGAUCGAUAGUGAACCAGUACCGUGAGGGAAAGGUGAAAAGAACCCCGGUUAGGGGAGUGAAAUAGAACUGAAACCAUACGCCUACAAAGAGCCGGAGCCUGUUCUGUAGCAAUACAGCGUGGGUGACGGUGUGCCUAUUGAAGAAUGAUCCAACGAGUUUUUACAAGCGGUAGGAUAAGCCCGAUAGGGCGCAUCCGUAGGGAAACCGAGUGUUAAAAGCGCGACUUACCCGCCUAAAUUUUUUGACUAAUUUGCGAAGCAAAUUGAACCCAAUUGGUCAAAAAACUUAGGCGGGAAUCGCUUGUAAAAGACCCGAAGCCAGGUGAGCUACCCAUGGCCAGGAUGAAGCCCUUCGAAAGAAGGGUGGAGGUCCGAACUGGUUGAUAGCGCAAUAUCAUCGGAUGAGCUGUGGGUCGGAGUGAAUAGCUUAUCGAACCUGGUAAUAGCUGGUUCUCCCCGAAAUGCCUUUAGGGGCAGCGCCCGUUAGUAGUAGUGGGGGUAGAGCUCUGAAUGGUUCGCCGUGCCAGCAAUGGUAGGCCUACCAACCAAACUACGAAUACCACUGCGUAAUGACGGGUAGUGAGACCGUGGGGGCAAAGCUUCAUGGUCGCGACGGGAUUAGCCGUUUACCACUAAAUAAGGUCCCUAAAUCUAUGCUAAGUGUUAAAGGAAGUACUCUGCCUUAGACAGGUAGGAUGUUGGCUUAGAAGCAGCCAUCAUUUAAAAAGUGCGUAACAGCUUACUACUCGAUUCCGCCGCAAGGCGGAGAGGUAGGGUGCGCCGAAGAUUUAUCGGGGCUAAGCAUAGUACCGAAUUUGUGGGUGCGGAAAUUUCACAAAGGAAUUUUUGAAAAUUUAUGCGUGGAAGUAGCUUAAUUGGCCAAAGCGUCGGUCUCCAAAACCGAAAGAUGCAGGUUCGAAUCCUGCCUUCCGCGCCACCCAAUUCCCGAGGGGUUUAUACUCGGGUCCUUUGUGAAGUUUCCGCACGGUAGGGGAGCACUUCAAGCAGCUGCGAAGCUCAUGACGCGAGUCGGGGUGGAGCGCUUGGAGGAGAAAAUGUUGGAAUGAGUAACCACAAGCGAGGUGAGACCCCUCGCCGCCGAAAGCCUAAGGUUUCCUCCGCAAUGUCAAUCACCGGAGGGUUAGGCGACGCUAAGGAUAACCGUGCCUUCGGGCAUGGGAAGCCGAUGCUAAGCCGGUUAAUAUUCCGGCCCUUGUUUGAAAAUCGAUGGAGUGACGGAGGACAUAAGUUGAAGCGGAUUAUUGGAUUUCCGUUUUUGAGUUCCAGGACUGUCGUUUGGCAAAUCCGGCGACUGACUUUAAUGUCAUAGUUCGAACCUGAAUAAACCUCGGGUAACCGGGGAAUUCCGAUGAAGAGCCUUCCAAGAAAAACUUCUAAGAUUAUUUUCAAACAACACGUACUUAAAACCGAAACAGGUGGGCAAGUGUAAGUGCACUAAGGCGAACGGGUGAUUAUUGGCUAAGGAACUCGGCAAACAAGUGGCCGUACCUUCGGUAUAAGGCCU